UCUCUGAUGGUUCAGUGGCUAAGACUCUGUGUUCCAGUACAGUGGGCCUGGGUUCAAUCCCUGGUCAGGGAA
rnacentral:tRNA from 1 species